rnacentral:tRNA from 159 species
CGCGGGGUGGAGCAGUUUGGUAGCUCGUCGGGCUCAUAACCCGAAGGUCGUUGGUUCAAAUCCAGCCCCCGCAACCA